AUUGAACGCUGGCGGCAGGCCUAACACAUGCAAGUCGAGCGAGCGGCGGACGGGUGAGUAAUGUAUGGGGACUGCCCGCUAGAGGGGGAUAACUACUGGAAAAGGUAGCUAAUACCGCACACUAUCGGAUAACCCAUAUGGGAUUAGCUAGUUGGUGAGGGAAUGGCUCACCUAGGGGACGCUCCCUAGCUGGUCUUAGAGGAAGAUCAGCCACACGGGGACUGAGACAGGGCCCAGACUCCCGGGGAGGCAGCAGUGGGGAAUUUGGGACAAUGGGGGAAACCCUGAUCCAGCCAUCCCGCGUGUAUGAUGAAGUCCUUGGGGUUGUAAAGGCCUUUUGACAGAGAAGCGGUAUCUGCAGAAUAAGCACCGGCGAACUACGUGCCAGCAGCCGCGUAAUUC
rnacentral:rRNA from 1 species